rnacentral:rRNA from 1 species
UCCGAAGGGGGCUAGCGUUGCUCGGAAUCACUGGGCGUAAAGGGUGCGUAGGCGGGUCUUUAAGUCAGGGGUGAAAUCCUGGAGCUCAACUCCAGAACUGCCUUUGAUACUGAAGAUCUUGAGUUCGGGAGGGGUGAGUGGAACUGCGAGUGUAGAGGUGAAAUUCGUAGAUAUUCGCAAGAACACCAGUGGCGAAGGCGGCUCACUGGCCCGAUACUGACGCUGAGGCACGAAAGCGUGGGGAGCAAACAGG